UACGUAGGGUGCGAGCGUUAAUCGGAAUUACUGGGCGUAAAGUGUGCGCAGGCGGCCGAGCAAGUCGAGUGUGAAAGCCCCGAGCUUAACUUGGGAAUUGCGCUCGAAACUACUUGGCUGGAGUGUGGCAGAGGAAGGUGGAAUUCCAGGUGUAGCGGUGAAAUGCGUAGAGAUCUGGAGGAACACCGAUGGCGAAGGCAGCUCUCGGUGCCAACA
rnacentral:rRNA from 1 species